GUGCUCACUUCAUCAGCACAUACCCUAAACUGAAAUAAUACAGAGAAGAUUAGCCUGGCCUCUGACACACAAAUUCAUGAAGCAUUCCAUAAUUAA
ensembl:snRNA U6 U6 spliceosomal RNA